GCAGCGUCGCUCCUGUGACCCACCUUACUGCACACACACGCUCGCUGGCUCUCAGAUGCCGCUCUGACACUCACAGAUCAGCAUAAUGAGCUAUAGUCACCACAAAAGGUAUCAGCAAGAGGAACAACAAAACGACUGCAGGAGAGACCGAGUCCUGACAACCCCGGCGCUCUGUCACCAGUGAAACACUGCUCUGCCAACGAUUCCCAUGAGGCUGUGAGGGGAGGGGGGCGACCUGAUUGGCUGGCUGGCCUGAGGGGGAAACUGCCAUACAAGAGAUGAUGCUUCGGAGCUUUCUAAUAUUGAGAGGUUUUACAGAGUUUUUGGAGUUUCUGUGAAAUUGUGGUCACAAUGUGGAGCGACUUAUAAGACCAGAGUAUAUUGAGCAUUGCUGUGAGAGCUGCACUUGAGGCAUGUUUAGUAUCUUGCUGAAACAAAUAAAUGCUAUGCAUUACAGAGUUUUUACUGUAGUGUAUACAUAUAUA